rnacentral:rRNA from 1 species
AUUGAACGCUGGCGGCAUGCCUAACACAUGCAAGUCGAACGGCAGCACAGUAAAGAUUUCGGUCUUUAUGGGUGGCGAGUGGCGGACGGGUGAGUAAUGCGUAGGAAUCUGUCCUGGAGAGUAGGAUGACCCGAGGAAACUCGGGCUAAUACUGCAUGAUAUCGAGAGAUCAAAGGCAGGGGACCCUUCGGGGCCUUGCGCUCUAGGAUGAGCCUACGUCGGAUUAGCUAGUUGGUGGGGUAAAGGCCUACCAAGGCGACGAUCCGUAGCUGGUCUGAGAGGAUGACCAGCCACACUGGGACUGAGACACGGCCCAGACUCCUACGGGAGGCAGCAGUGGGGAAUCUUGGACAAUGGGGGAAACCCUGAUCCAGCGAUGCCGCGUGUGUGAAGAAGGCCUUCGGGUUGUAAAGCACUUUAGCUGGGGAAGAAAAGUAAUGAGUGAAUAACUGAUUGCUCUGACGGUACCCAAAGAAUAAGCACCGGCUAACUCUGUGCCAGCCGCCGCCGUAA